rnacentral:rRNA from 1 species
UUCGUCCUACGGGGCGCAGCAGUAGGGAAUAUUGCUCAAUGGGGGAAACCCUGAAGCAGCAACGCCGCGUGGAGGAUGAAGGUUUUCGGAUUGUAAACUCCUUUUGUUAGAGAAGAUAAUGACGGUAUCUAACGAAUAAGCACCGGCUAACUCCGUGCCAGCAGCCGCGGUAAUACGGAGGGUGCAAGCGUUACUCGGAAUCACUGGGCGUAAAGAGCGCGUAGGCGGGAUAGCAAGUCAAGGGUGAAAUCCCCGCGCUCAAC